UACGUAGGGUGCGAGCGUUAAUCGGAAUUACUGGGCGUAAAGCGUGCGCAGGCGGUUUUGUAAGCCAGAUGUGAAAGCCCCGGGCUUAACCUGGGAAUGGCAUUUGGGACUGCAAGGCUGGAGUGUGGCAGAGGAGACUGGAAUUCCUGGUGUAGCAGUGAAAUGCGUAGAUAUCAGGAGGAACACCGAUGGCGAAGGCAGGUCUCUGGGCUGACACUGACGCUGAGGCACGAAAGCGUGGGGAGCAAACAGG
rnacentral:rRNA from 1 species